rnacentral:lncRNA from 1 species
UCCGUCUACCCUUUUUGCAGGUAACUUAAGGUUGUUGGCACAUGUAUUUGCCUCAUCUCCUCCAUUUGUGGUGCCAUGAGCCUCAUGGCAUUGUCUCGAUGAUCUUCGCCACCAUUGGGGUUUGACUGUGUUGCCCUUUGCUUGGAGGGGCCCACUACGACCCUAUGAGCAUCACCCAAGAGCCUCACUCCCUUCUCUGCCAAAGUUUUUGGCAUGUGAGGGGAGUCCCCCAUGGGUUCCCAGUUGUCUCUACCACCAUGCUUUUAAAAACUAUCGGAACCAACCUUGUCAUAUUUGGAGAAGAUUCCCUAUGUACGAAGCCGAUUGUGGGUGGAAGAAAAUCGAGUGCAAACAAAGUGGUGGCACAAGUAGAGGUGUCGUGCCUUGCCGGCACAACACGACACGGGCACGACACAAAAAAACUCGGGACAAACACGGUAUAAGUUGGGCACAGCAUGACACGAUAUGAGCGGGCAUGGGCACGAGCACAGGACACUGCACGAUAGAUGUCCUGGCACGACACGGCAAGACACGAUCAAAACCGGGCAUGACAUGAUAGUUGGCUUAGUUUGGCAUGACACGGACUUAAUUAGGCACGUCACAAGCACGACACAGAAGUGUGAAAGGCACAACAUAGGCACGAAACGGAAGUGGCAUGGACACGACACGGUAAUUGACUUGGCAUGACAUGGAAGUGACAAAAAAUGAUUAAUUAUUAAAUAAAUUAAAAUAAAAUUUAAUUAAAUAAAUUGACUUGCCAUAAUAAGAAAUAAAUAAUAAAAAAAAUAAUAAUAAAAAAAAUAAAUUGACUUGUUCAUGGGCCAUAGCCAUAAAUACUUAAAUAAUAAAAACAUACAUUUUUAUAAAAUAAACUGAUUUGCCAAAUGCCAUAAUAAGAAAAAAAAUUAAGGAGAAUUUAAAAUAAAAUUAUGAAUAAAAAAAUUAAAAAUUAAAAAAAAAAUUAAAUUUUGAUAGCAAAGAAUAUAAAUUUUAAAAUUUUGACUUGUGGCCGUAGGCCAUAAUAAGACUAAAAUACUUUUUUAAAAAAUAAAUUUUAUUUUAUUUCAAAAAUAAAGAAAAAUUAAAAAUAAUUUUUUUAAUAAUAAUUUUUUUUUUUAUUUUUGAAUUGAUAGGUCAAAGUUGAAUUUUUAUAAUUACAUAUAUGUAUAAAAUUUUUAUUACAUUAUGGAUUAGCCACACAAUCACAACAUAAUUUUGUUGAUCGCCACCGUUCACAUUGUUUGUCUUGCUAUUUUAAUCACUCCCACCAAAUUUAAAGUCUAUCGGGUAUUGAAAACCCUUUUAUCCGGGAUAUUGAUUCAUUUAUUUAUUAUCAACCGAUAAUUUAUCUCUUUAGAUCAAGUACAUAACGAUAAUUAAAUCAACGUAUUUUUUGCAUAAAUGAUAUAAUCACUCAUACUUAAAAUCUAGAUAGUUCCGAUUAGAAAAAAAUUAUUGGGAUAGCCGUCAAGUCAUGCAUUAUAGGAUAUUAUUACUCAUAGAUGCUCAUAAUGUGAUCCAAUUAGGUGGUUGCCGACAUUUGAUUGCCACCAUUUUUGAAAAAAAUUAUAGAAUUGAUAAGGUAUGAAAUCAUAACCGUUUAGAUCAAAUAUUCAAAAAAUCGAGUCUGCACCUGCCUUUUAAUCCUAUACAUCAAACUUACUUGGUUCUAAACUAACCUAUUUGUUAUAGGAUAAUGAACGAUAGCCAAACGAUCGCAAACCAAUUAUAAUGAUAAAAAAACAUUCACUUUGUUUGUCUUGCUAUUUUAAUCACUUUCGCUAAAUUUGAAGUAUAUCGGGUAUUGAAAGCCCUUUUAUCAGGACGUUGAUUCAUUAAAAACUAAAAAAUUAUCUGCUUCGAUAAAAUACGUAAUGAUAAUUAAUUUAUUUUAAUUUUUACAUGGAGGAUAUAAUCACUCUAAUGUAAAACAUUGACAGUUCCGAUUCAAAAAAAAAUACUUUGACGACCCACGAUUAAUAUAAUUUUAUGUCAAAAUUUAUUAUUUAUCUCAUAUGAGAUUUUUUUUCAUUUCAAAAUUUUAAUACUUUAUUUUUUUUUUUCCUAACGUUGUUGACUUCACAUGCGGUCAUGCCUGCAGCCUCUUGAGUCUGAUUGAAAAAAAUCAAUCAACUCACACCACAAGCUACACAACUCAGGCUACACACAGAGGCUACACAGUAACACAGCCUACACAACUCACACAUGCUACACCACAACUCACUCACAUCGCCACUGGCUACACAUAUCGCUACUCUCACUCCAAUCCACUCUCUCUCUCUCUUCCGCUCCCUCCAUGGUAAGAUACAUUUGUUUUGCAUUUUCCCUAUUAUUCUUCAGUGGCUUGAUCUUUUGCUGAUCUUCUCAUUCUCUCUCUAUUUCAGUUGUCUUCUCGUGCAAGGUUGAUGAUCAAAUCAUGUGACGCUGUCUAAUUCUUUCAACUAUUUUUAUGGUGAUGUACAACUCUAUUUGGUGAAACUAUGCUUGUUUGCUCAAAUUUUGUUAGGUUUUUUGUUCAAAUUUUGCAAAAGAGGCUAAAUUGCUCAGUUUUCUUGUAUGUAAAUUUAUGUUUCAGUAAUAAACUAGAUGCUUAAACUGAAAGAAGCUUGUCAACAUUUACAUGCUCCUCUGUUGGUAACAUUUUGAGAGUUGUUUUCUGAAUCACAAUGAAACUAUAUCGCAGGUCAAUCUUCAUGUUUUCAUUUGAUUGAUUUCCGCCAAAUAAUUUCCUGAUUGAUUUCUUGCUGUCAUUUGAAACCCUGUCAUCUCAACUCUAGAUUUUCAUGGAAAAUAGGAUCGGGAUGCUCUCCACUUGGUGAUCAAUCUUACACAAAUUUAGCAUGUCUGAUCAUUUUUUCCCCUGAUUUUGUUUAGCAAUUGUGAUUUAUAGGGUAAUCACUGUGUAAAAAUCUCUCUUGCUAACAUGAUCUUGAUUACUAUGUUGUUGUGAUUCUCAAAUUCAGUUUUCCAGAACAAUUUUUAGAAAAAUUGUUUGGUUUAAAACUUUUUUUUGAGAAGUUUUUGAAAAUAACACAUUAUUGAGAAAAUAUUUAAAAAAUAUUUUUUGCUAAAAUAAAUUUAUUUUCAAAAUCAAUUUCUGAUUCUGCAAAUGAGAAUCAUGCUGCUAAUUCUCUAAUUGUUUUUGGGUAGACAUAUCUGGUCCUAUGAUUUGCUUAGGACUCUACAGGAAAGCUAAGGAGAUCUUAGGGAUGUCUCUCCAUCCAAAACCUAUAUUAGGAACAAAGGAUUUCCUUAUUUCCAACAGUUGAUGAUGAAAAGUAGUUAUUGUUGGGUGGCAAUGGCAAGAGUAAAUAAGCAUGAAAAUGCACCUUUUUAUGUCGACUUGAUUGGGGGUGGAUUAGAUAAUCCAUUUGUGGGGAUUAGCUAUCCAACCUGGACUAAAUUCGUUGAAACCAAAUAUGAGGGAGACGCUAGGUUCCAUUCGCAGGUCUGGCCAUCCUCCUAUGGGACAUUGAUUCAUUUAUUCAUAUGGCUGUUGGGCUAUUUGAUUUGCGAUUAUGCACUAUUUUAUGGGCAAUGGUGCUACUUUCUGAGUCAAGUGACAUGAGUCAUACAGUUAAGUAAACCAACACGGCACGACAUAAUUAAAAAAUGGACACGACAUGAUAGAUUAAAAUACGAGCACGGUACGACACGAGUCACACGACUAAAUUAGUGGGCUGACACGACACGAUUAAGUAUAUGGGCAAGCACGUUUAUAAAAUGGCAUGGCACGAUUAAAAAAGGCCUGACCGGGCCGAACAAAUGGGCUUGACCCGUUAAGUAAAUGGACCCGGCCCGGCACGAAGCACAAUUGGCACGAAAAAAAAGUGGCACGGCACGGCGGACACGUUAGACACCUCUAGGCACAAAGGUUCAGUGCCUUUGGUCUCUAUUCGGACGAGCUUGCAAAGAAGCAAACAUAAGAAAGAGCACACAGAGCUAUUCUAGGGAUGGUGCUCCGACAAUCAAGUCAGGGACCAAAGAAAAUAAGAAAUGAAAGAGCAAAUGACUGGCUUUGCUCUAGUUCUAGAGAGAGAGAAAGUGUUGAUCACCCGUCCAAGAGAAAGAAGUGCUCCUUUUAUAUUAUAGCUCGACGCAUACGGACACGCGCAAGCUGACUUGCUAGAAAGUAAGCGGUUGACCAAAUCACACCCCUGUAGACAUGAUUGGUAGUUUGCCUAUCACAUCAUAGAAACUUAAUGUGUGCGGGUAGCAAGUGAAAUUUCGCGUGUACGCUACCUGUUGCCCAGCAGCUCAGUAAGGAUGAUUCAUCGAGAUUGUUGUCGUGUUCUCCAUUUGAAUUCUCACGUUGAGGUCGCCGACCAGAGUUGCAUAGAGCGACAGUCCGGCAGUGGCGCACGGUGAAGCUCAGUCGAAAUUGUGGUUGCAUAUUUUAUCCCCUUAUAGCCCAUUUAGUUAUGUAACGAUUCUUUACUGUAAUCAUGGCUAAAAAUACCAUCCCGAUACGUGGGACUCUUUCUCAAAAAAAUGAAAAGUAUUGUGAGCCUUAAUUGAUUUAGCACGGACACUAGAUGUAACUUUGUAGGAAAUAAAUGGGAGAUUCUAUUUUUAUAGGGGUAUAACUAUUUACUGAAAAAGUGAGGGUAGUCACAUAUCCCUCCUGGGCAUGAACUCUUAACGCCGCUGGAUUCUGCAAAUCACCACCCAUUAAGCACCAUAAUGCAUAUUUUACAUGAAUAAUUUAAUAUACCUUUAUGAACAUUUAUGUACUUAUUAUGAUAAUUGAUGUAGGCCAUUAACUACCACCCUACGUUAGGGAUGGCAAUGGGGCGGGGCAGGGCUGUGCCGGAGGUUGGUACUACCAUCCCCGAUCCCCGAAAUUUUUUGUGUCCUCGAUCCCUGCCCCGAUCCCUUGCGGGGAAUAUUUUUGUACCCCCGUCCCUGCCUCCGCCGGGGACCGGGGAUCCCCACCCCAAAUCCAAACCCCGAAUCUCACAAAAUCAACAACUUUCAAAUACAAAUAAAAUAAAAAUAAAAAAUGUCAAAAUCAACAAACUCCAAAAAUACCUAGAUGAGAUCUGGCGACCGGUGUUCGCGUCGACCGACGAAGGCUAGCGGCCGCAGCAGGAGCAACGACGGGUAACGACGGGCGAGUCGACGACGAUUGAGAUCUGGUAGUGGGUCUCCCUCUCGGCCUAUCCCCUUCCCCUCUCUGUUCUUGCGUGAGAUUUGGUGGACCAGUGGUGGGUAUCCCUCUCCCCUUCGCCUCUCUAGUCUUUAGUCUCCCUCUGUUUGUCCGUCGUCGUUGGCCAUGGAGAGAAGAAAGAGAGAGAGAGUUGUUUGUGAACGU